rnacentral:rRNA from 1 species
CCUACGGGUGGCAGCAGUGGGGAAUAUUGGGCAAUGGACGCAAGUCUGACCCAGCAACGCCGCGUGAAGGAAGAAGGCUUUCGGGUUGUAAACUUCUUUUAAGGGGGAAGAGCAGAAGACGGUACCCCUUGAAUAAGCCACGGCUAACUACGUGCCAGCAGCCGCGGUAAUACGUAGGUGGCAAGCGUUGUCCGGAUUUACUAGGUGUAAAGGGCGUGCAGCCGGAGAGACAAGUCAGAUGUGAAAUCCACGGGCUCAACCCGUGAACUGCAUUUGAAACUGUUUCCCUUGAGUGUCGGAGAGGUAAUCGUACUUCCUCGUGUAGCGGUGAAAUGCGUAGAUAUUAGGAAGAACACCAGUGGCGAAGGCGGAUUACUGGACGAUACCUGACGGUGAGGCGC